rnacentral:lncRNA from 1 species
CUAUAAUUAGUGAGGGAGCUAUACCUAGAAGCAAAGCCAUAAUUGAAACUGAGAAGUACCUAGAAUAGAUGUUUUUAUGAACUGCUGCUGCCUUUUCUUCUUGCAGCAAGAGAAAGCAAAUCUAAAUUGGAAUAAUAAGGAAUGCCUCUGGAGUCAUGUUGGAGAGUUCAUACAGUGUAUUGUCUUGCUGUGCUCACCUUGAAUGCUUAUUUUAAAAGACAAUUAGCCAACUGUAGCAACCAGAAGCCCCUGAAAGAAAUCUUGUUUGCAACCAGAGUGAGGGAAAAGAGAGGAGAGGAGAAGAAAAAGGAAAGGAAAAGUGCCAAUACCAGUUGUGGGAGAGCCAAAUCCAGUCUUCACCAGAGUAAGUGGCACUCUGAGCCUCAACUCCACUCAAGCUAG